AAUAUUGCACAUUGUAGGAAACUCUGAUGCAGCGACGCCGCGUGAGUGAAGAAGGUCUUCGGUUCGUAAAACACUUUCCUUGGUGAAGAUAAUGACGGUAGCCAAGGACGCAGCCCCGGCUAACUACGCGCCAGCAGCCGAGGUAAUACGUAGGGGGCUAGCGUCGGCCGGAUUUACUGGGCGUAAAGGGUGAGUAGGCGGUUGCAUAAGUCAGAUGUAAAAGGCUAAGGCUUAACCAUAGUAUGCAUUUGAAACUGUGUGACUUGAGUACAGGAGAGGUAAGCGGAAUUCCUAGUGUAGCGGUGAAAUGCGUAGAUAUUAGGAGGAACACCAGUGGCGAAGGCGGCUUACUGGACUGUAACUGACGCUGAGUCACGAAAGCGUGGGUAGCAAAC
rnacentral:rRNA from 1 species